rnacentral:tRNA from 1 species
ACUCGUAUAAUUUAAUCAUUAGAAUGUUGCAUUGAAGCUGCAAACGAGGUUAGUUUACCUGCGGG